GCAGAACAAGGCCACUUCAGAUUGCUCAGAGAACAACACCAAUUCUUCAGGGUGGCUAAUUUUUGCCUUUUUAAGGAAUUUCUUUUGGACGUGACUUGUUCUUGCUCUGGUUUAAUCAUACCAGCUCUCUGUAGGAAAAAGAAAGAGCAGUGGACAAUUCCGGAGUCACCCUCACAUCCAGGAACUGAGUGAUGCAGACUGGGGAAUAAUUCUAAGAGGUUUUGAGGAAGAGAGAAAGUAACACGCAAGGAGCCGGCAGUGAGAGGUCACGGUGUUCCUGGCAAGCAAUCUGAGAGCUGCUCCAGGGUCACUGGAAGCAGUGAGUGGGAGGCGCAGGGGAGCUGCUCUGCAGGUGGAGAGCACAAGUGUGCCUUUCUGGAAGCCAAGAUAUGCAAACCUUAUUUAUGUUCCUUUGUGAUUAUCAGAAAAUUGCAACACCCAGCCAAACCCAACCCAGUGUCUGAGAGCACUUUCCAAACGCUCCCUGAGCGCAGCCAUUGGGGCUGUGCCCACUGCCCUGGGCAGCUGUUCUGUGCCCACCGCCCUCUGGUGCAGACCCUUCCCCCAAUCCCCUCCCCUCACACAGCUCCACGCCGUUCCCUCGGGCUCUGUCGCUGUCACAGAGCAGAGCUCAGCGCUGCCCCUCUGCUCCCUGUGAGGAGCCGUGGGCCGCCAUGAGGGCUGCCCUCAGCCUGCUCUGCUCCGGGCCCAACAGACCCACGGAGCUCGGCGCUCCUCGCACACCUGUUGCCCUCCAGGCCCUUCACCGUCUUUGUAACCCUCCUUUGGACGCUCUCGAGCGGUUUUAUGUCCUUUUUGUACUGUGGCACCCAAACUGCACAGAGUACUCGAGGUGAGGCCACAGCAGCGCAGUGCAGGGCAGGACAACCCCUUCCCUCGAGCACCAGAACGCUGUCCCGUGCUGCUGCCGUGUAACAGAUGGCAGCAGAGGGGCAGUGACAGAACGGCGUCUGACACGGAAACGCAUUUGAAGCAGAAGUCUGCCACCGAACUCCUCCAUGUGGAAAAAAAAAAAUGGCACUCAUUCACGUUCAUCGACGCUUGCUGAAUAUCUACGGAGACCAAACAGCGGAUGUGAGCGCAGCGAGGCGGCGGGCAGUCGCACUUAAAGGAAAGCAGACAUUCCUCGCUUUGCCGCCCGAGAAGCGGAGCCCCGAUUCCCCCCAGACGCCCCUCACAGCCCGGCCACGUGCCGCGCGCCACGUGAGUGCAGCCCCGCCCACUUCCGCACCGCCGCC
ensembl:lncRNA